AGAGAGAGACAUGCGCGCAUAUCAAUAAGCGGAGGAAAAGAAACUAACAAGGAUUCCCUUAGUAACGGCGAGUGAAGCGGGAAGAGCUCAAAUUUGAAAUCUUCAAGGUUUUACCUUGACGAAUUGUAGUUUAAAGAAGUGUUUUCUGCUGAAGUUUUGGUAAAAGUUCUUUGGAAUAGGACAUCCAUAGAGGGUGAGAAUCCCGUAUUCGACAUAUUCUUUCUAGCUUUGUGAUACACUUUCAAAGAGUCGGAUUGUUUGGGAAUGCAGUCCAGAAUGGGUGGUAAAUUUCAUCUAAAGCUAAAUAUUGGCGAGAGACCGAUAGCGAACAAGUACCGUGAGGGAAAGAUGAAAAGAACUUUGAAAAGAGAGUUAAACAGUACGUGAAAUUGUUCAAAAGGGAAGCGUUUGACACCAGUGUUGUUUUCUCGAAAAUCAAUUAAAAAUGGCUCGAUUUUGUAUUGUUGAGACCUUAAAAGCUCACUGUACAUUUUUCGUGUCUUUUUUAAUGCACUUUUCGUUUAACAAGUCAACAUCAGUUUCUUUUGUUGUAAAAGGGUCAUUGGAAGGUGGCUUUCUUUUCGGAGAAAGUGUUUAUAGCCUUUGGCCUCUGCAAUCGGAGAGGCUGAGGUCUGCAGCGUAGACUCUUCGGGGUUAGAUACAUUUGUGCUAAGUUAUAGCUUUUUAUAGACAACUUGUUGACUAUAAUUAGUCUUGUAGCUUACUCGCUUAUGCUAUUUUACCUACGCUUAGGAUGUUGAAGUCAUCGUAUCGCGC
rnacentral:rRNA from 1 species